rnacentral:rRNA from 1 species
GAUGAACGCUGGCGGCAUGCCUUACACAUGCAAGUCGAACGGUAACGCGGGGCAACCUGGCGACGAGUGGCGAACGGGUGAGUAACGCAUCGGAACGUGCCCAGUAGUGGGGGAUAGCCCGGCGAAAGCCGGAUUAAUACCGCAUACGACCUACGGGUGAAAGGGGGGGAUCGCAAGACCUCUCGCUAUUGGAGCGGCCGAUGUCAGAUUAGGUAGUUGGUGGGGUAAAGGCCUACCAAGCCGACGAUCUGUAGCUGGUCUGAGAGGACGACCAGCCACACUGGGACUGAGACACGGCCCAGACUCCUACGGGAGGCAGCAGUGGGGAAUUUUGGACAAUGGGCGCAAGCCUGAUCCAGCCAUGCCGCGUGCGGGAAGAAGGCCUUCGGGUUGUAAACCGCUUUUGUCAGGGAAGAAACGCGCUGGGUUAAUACCUCGUCGUAAUGACGGUACCUGAAGAAUAAGCACCGGCUAACUACGUGCCAGCAGCCGCGGUAAAAC